rnacentral:lncRNA from 1 species
ACAUAACGACUUCAAGAUUCCGUUACAAAAAGCAUGGCCAGUUGGAACCUUUUGGCUCCACUUUCCUCUGCGUCAAAAGCUGGGACCCAUGUCAAGCAUAAAGGUAACCGGUUCUACUUCAGUUCGUGAGGGUCUUCAUUCCGAUCACGAAGUUCCCCGAGCCCGGAAGCACUUCACACCCUGGUCUAGUAUGAGCUGCUAUGAGGAGCCUUAGAGCUUUUCCGAUCCUGAAAUUUGAGGUUUUGACGGGUUUAGAUAUGAAGGACCUUCCCAGAUCCGUCGUGGCUGAGUUUUUCGGCAACAUAGCUAGUGUUUUUCUGGUGAAGUUGAGUUGUAGCGAGAACGACAACAAUGGUGGUUGGCCGUAGGCGAACGAGGCGGUGUUUGUGGAGUUCACUCCCAGCUAACCGUAUCGCCACGAGGACGUCAUCGCUAGCACCAUCACCAGCCGUUCCGACAGGAGGUCCCACUCGAAGCCAAAUAAGUAUGAUCUCUUUAGCAUAAAAUCCAACGCGUUGAAUUUGCCUUCGGACUGGUUUCUUCUCGAAGAUGGCU